GAAAUGUACCUGCACGGCCCCAGAACGGGCAAGCCUUAGAGGGUGGUACACAGCUGUUGCAUGGCUGUCGUCAGCUCGUGACGUGAGUUGUUCUCUUAAGUGAGGUAACGAGCGCAACCCCAUUCUGUGUUACUAUGUCACAGAAGACUGCCCAGCAUUAUUUUGUUGGGAGGAAGGAGGGGACGACGUCAAGUCAUCAUGAUGCUUAUAUCCGGGGCUACACACAUCCUACAAUGGGUGGUACAGAGGGUCGCAAUACCGCGAGGUGGAGCUAAUCCUUAAAACCUCCCUCAGUUGGGAUUGCAGGCUGAAACUCGCCUGCAUGAACUUGGAAUUGGUAGUAAUCGCAAAUCAGCAGAUUGCGGUGAAUACGUUCUCGCCUCUU
rnacentral:rRNA from 1 species